CCUGAGCCGAAGGCAGUCGCUUAACCAACUGAGCCACCCAGGCGCCCCUGUCUUUUUAAAAUGGUACUCUUGGGAAGCCACGUACUUACUGUAGGGAUAUUAGUAUUACUUAGAACAUUUUUGAAACUUUACUUUUGGAAUUGCCUCCAAAGACAUUUUGCAAACCACAUAGAAAAGGCAUCUCAGUGUUUAUUAGUCACGGAUUACACUCCCUUGUCCUUAUGACCUCUCCUCUCUUCCAUUCUCAGUUUUGCUUUUCUUCUGCUGGCUUAGCUCUCCUACCCACCUAUGCUGGAGCCAAUGACCUAAGGGUGCCCAGACGGGGGGUAUGCUGGCCAGAGUUCCUGGAGCAAGAACUUUUAGUUUAUAGUGAAGCUGAAUGCUGUAAAGGGAGGAUCCUACAAGUCCAGAAACCUUUCUCUGUGGGCUGCCUGUAAGUGUUGUAAGUAGUUUGCACAGGACUAAGGACUGAAUACUGGUAAUAUCAAUCACAGGAAGGUGAGGAAGCCUAAAAUGUAAGUAUGUAAUGUACAGCAUUUCUCUGCAGUGAAGAACAGAAACUAACCCAAGCCAUGCUUUGUGUUAACUUAAAACUGAAAGGUGUUUCUCAGGGUCUCCUUUGCCCUUCAUUGCUGCCACAUAAAAGCUGGGAGGAAGGAUGAUGAAAAGCCUGGGGAAAAGGCUCUCCUGUGAAAUGGACAUGUUUUUCUCUUGUAUUAUCUCUUGUAUUAAAGUACAAUGUGGCUUUGGAUGUCAGGUACUUACGAAUGUUGGACAAUGUUCGUAAGGAGUCAUAGGACUAAUAAAAGGCAGGAAAGCUUCCCUGGGAGCCUAAAUUAAUGUAAACAGUUCAGGUUCUGUUUGUGUUUUUAACAACAUUUUGUUUCUAACAGGUGGUUCUUGCUAUUUAUAUUCAUUAAUUUGACACCGUUUUACAGAGGAACUUCUUGGGUAUUAUAAACAAUCAAUGGCAAAAGAUGAAUAUUAUUAUCCACAUCACCACUCUCAAAGAAAUUAUUUGUUUUUGGAGAUAAGAAAUAUAUCUGUGCAAAUUUAACAAAAGAAAUAAAUUGAAUAAAAAUUAUUUGCCCAAGAUCAAAGCUAGUUGGCACAACAGCUAGAAUUAUACCAAGGUCUAAGAAAAAAGAAAAUACCCUCGAAGUAAUUUAACUAAGGUUUUGUUAUGCCAUAUCAAGUUGCAUGCUGAGGCUUAUGGUCUUUCAGACCAGCUUAAAUUCCAGAUGAGGCAAUAGCUAUAGUGAAAAAAAUUAGAUGGGGGAUCAGGAGAUCAGAGUGCUAAUUUUGGCUCUCUCUCCCAUGGUAAGCUUUUUCUCAGUGGUGGCUGCCUUCUCCUAUUCCAGCCAGGGAUUUGCCAACCAUAAACCUCAGUGGUUAGCAACUUGACACUCUAUUCUUCGUAUCUAGCCUCUUACUGGGUCCUGUCAAUUCUACUUUGAAUGUUAGUUGCAUCUAUUUAUAAAUAUAUUCAUGGUCAUCACUCUAGUAAAAAACUGUUACCUCACACCCCCCACCUCAUUUCCCCCAACUUUAAGCCAUUCCUCACAUCAGUGCCACAAGAAUGAGAACUAGGUCCCUCUUCCAUUAUUCUGCUGAAAUAUUUCCAGUGGCUCCCACUGAAUACUUGAUAAAGUUCAAAUCCCGUAGGUUGGCAUUCACAGCUUUCCAUAUUCUGGCCCCAGCUUUAUCUCUUCAAACUCAACUACUCACCAUCUGACAAUGCCACUGAGAAUCAGACAUUCCAUAAAAAUGAUUUUAAGGUGUUUCUAUGGUGAAGUUAGGAACUGGUAAUAAACUGUUUACAUUUGUCUAGAUGAAAAUUCUGCAGUACUACAUUUUACACAACUAGUCAGCCUAAAAGUUGUUUCUUAAGGAAAAUCUUUUGUCCCCCCAGAAGAAAUUACAUUUAAUUUCUUAACCUCUGAAACAAUGUCAGUCUUGUCACCUGUGCUUCUGAUAGCCAGAGCAUGGGGAUUUUUCUUCAGCAGCAUAGAUACUCCAGCCUUGAAUGGACUAUUGUCUAGCUCCUGUGAGAAACUUGACUAAUAAAUAUUUGAGAAAAACAACUCAAGAGUACAUGUUAUUCAUACAUUUCUCAAGUACUUGAGAUUUUCUUGUAUUAUGGUUAAUCAUUAAAAAGAUGUUUACCUGGGUUUCAUUAAUUAAACCCCCUAUUAAACCCUUGAUGUUAGCAAGGGUCAGCACAAGAAAAGACCAGUGGUGAGAAUUCUACAAAUUCUGUAAAGCUUACUGAAUUCAUUAUGUUGUUGAGUGGGGCUUGUAUAAGGAAACAUGCAAUAAAUUCAUUCAACAAACAUUGAAUUGAAUGCCUGUGUGUGUUGCAUGCCAGAGCCAUAUAUAGAAAAAUAUUAGACCUGUAGAAUCUACCCUUGUAAAUCAUUCAAGCUAAUGAAUUCAGGUACACAAAGCAAGUAAAUCACAGGAACGUGGUUAAGUAUCUUAAAAGAGGAAUAAACAAAGUAGGAUGAAGGUACACAGAAGAUGGAGUGAUUUGCUGCCUGGAAGAGAAGGGGAAGGCUCUUAACAAUGUGUUAAGAGGUAGGCAUGGGUUAGGAUCUUGACCAAGGUCUCCAAUACCCAAGUCAUGUACCUUUCCCAGUACCUCCAAGAAGGUUAUGGCUGACUGAAGACAGAGUUGUGGGCUUUGAGGUGGCAGAGGAAUUCCAUGUACAAAGGGUUGAAAACACGAAAAAGCAGUGUGCUCAGAGAAAACCAAGGAAUUAAACUUGUGAGUGAUGAAGCUGGUAGGAUGGAAAUAUCGACUGGGGUGGUUAUACAUGUUUUUAACUGAAUAAUUCUUUGUUUAAAGGAAUUCAUGUGUUGCUUUCUAUCAGAUAAGACUGUUAGAACUCUUUGGAGUUCUUUUGCCUUCCUUGCCAAGCAAGUUAGUAAACCUCACCUUUGCCGGAGUUCUUGGUAUAUUUGGCAUAUUUGCUUUCCUUUCCCACAUGCAAGAAGUGAUUUGUGCUUUCUUGUCUCUCCACUGUGAGAUCCCCAGCUUUAUAUUGAAUGCCUGCUUUCUUCCUGUCCUGCUAUUCAUUCCAUAGAUAUUGAAAACCCACUGAGAAAAUAAAUAGUCAUGAAACUUAACCUGUUAGUGUCCAAGACUUUCAUGGUCCAGUUUUCCAUUUCUACAGUAUUUCUUAACCACUGCAAUUCAUUGGCUUCAUUCACUUGUGGCGAAUUCUGCAAUGUUUUAUAACUUCAUAGCUAUAAACUUUCAUUUGUGGUGGUAUGAUCUCGCCAACUAGAUUGUAAGCUGCUUUCAGGGCAGGGACUAUGUCAUCUGUUUCUUGGAAUAUUUUAUGGCAUGAAAUAUAGUGAUGAGAAGGGGAAAAGAAAUACCCCCCAAGAGUGACUUCCACGUAAUGAAUGAUGAGGUCCUAGCAUGUGUGUGGUGCCAUCUUUCGGGGAUAUGCAUGGAAAUGUGAAAAAGUCUCCUAAGGCAUUUCAAACCUUUGCUCAGUACUCACUUUUGUCUAUUAACCUAGGACUGAGUGAUGCAACAGAAGAAAUCUGGAAAACACCUCCAGGACUUGGGAGCCACGAAUUGAAAAUUGAAGAAUUUGGAGAAUUACUGAUCUUACAGUGCUCUAGAUUGCUGGGAAUACAAAGGUAGAGGAGUUCCUGCAUCUACGGCAUUCACAUGCUGAGGAGCCUGAGGCCCAAAGUAGACGGGAUAAAUGAGAAGACUUCCACCUAUGACAUUCUCCGAUGCAUGGUUCAGAGGGGAAGAAGUGUAAAUUUGCCUCAGAUCUGGUCCAUCCUCUGACCUGAAGACUACAACUUCGAUUUCAGAGUUACUGAUUAAAAGCACUGAAUUGAACAGAACUAAGACCCAACCUUGAGGAAUUUCUGUCCUGCCUUUCUAAUUAACAAUCUGGUAAGAUAUACUAAACAUGCCCCUUAUCACCUUAUUAACAACAUUUAUUAUUCUGAAUGAAAUGAUGUUUAAGUCAUGCAUAACUAAGAGUUCUAGGCUGAUUUUUUAAAAAUAACAAUCAUUAAAUAUGCAUUAUAAAUAUUCACUUUAUUUUAAAAGAAUUGGAAGAUGUUACAUAUAUUACACACUACAUAUAAUGGCACAUGUCAGCCUUUUAAGCUUAAAAAUAAUCUUUCCCCAAACUGGGAUUGACUUAGACUCCAAGUAUAAAAUGACUCUUGGCCUAUAGCACCAACCCAGGCCCAGAGGAAAGCCAAUUUUGAACCUGUCUGUCCUCUGGCAUUGGGCUUCCUGAUAUGACACUGAGGGUCCUCUCCCUCUGGUUUUGUUCCCUGGCACUAUUGAGGCCUGGCACAGGGACCCAUUUGACUAUACACUGCAGGCCUAGGGAAUCUAGAGGGGGUGGUAGGUCCUCUGACAAUUUCACAAUGGAAAAAAAUUGAAAACAUUAUGUGCCUUGUCUUUGUUUUUGAUCUAUACUACUAUAACAAGACUCUACAAGAUAGAAGAUCAGAAUUAUUGAAAUACAAUUUCUCUGCUGGUUUUUGUCUUUGAAAUUCACGUGUCAUGACAGGAGGAGACUUAAAAGUCAUCUGGUUCAAUACUGGUAACCUACUCUACUAGUAUCUCAGACUUAGGUAUAAUUCAAAGUUUUAAAUGCCAUCCAUAUGCCAUUUCGUUAGACAAACACAAAGAAAUUUAAUAACACUUUUCAUAUUCUUUUUCUUAAUUCAUAAGGACAAUUUCUGCCAAAUGUUCUGGCUUAUGGCUCUCCUCCUCUUCAUAGUAUGUUUAAGUUACAUAUUAAGAAUCCAAAAAAUACCACUAUGGAAUUUUCAUAAGCAAUAUCCGACCAAUCAGUAAAACACGGUACACAGUGUGAAAAUUUUAAUUUAUUCCCCUCCCAAGUAUCCAGAAUAUAUACCCUCUUAGCUUUGAGAAAUGUGACAAUGAAAAUACCAACAGAAUUGAUCGUAUAUAAAGAAAAGCACAUACUACACAGGAGACAUCCCUAAGUCCUCCCUAACCUAGCAGUGCAAGUUAAUGGUAUGUUUCUGGUACUGUCAGUCACCUUUCACUUGAUUUAUAAAAAUUUUACAGGACAGAUUUAAAGCAAAGAUAGGCCUCUGAUUUUUAUUUUUAUUUUUUUAUCCCUAACAGAUUUUUAAAAAGAGGCUAUAUUAAAGGACAAUGCAUUUUGAGUCAGGGGGAGCAAAAAAAAUUAAAAACCCAAAACUUCUUUCAGUUUAUUCAAAAUAAAAAUACACAUAGAAUUAUGAAAAUAUAGGUUUACUAUUUCCACCAUGUAAGUUGAUGCUGCUGUUUGAAAGGCUUGCAAAUUGUUUUUCAAGUUUUUAAAGCUCAUCUCGAUCCCUCAAUAAAGUAUACCUAUAUUCGCUGGGUGCUAAUUUCUGGAAGGAGCUCUCAGGUGGACUGCUUGCUACGUCUUGGACUUGCUGCAAGAGAAAGAAUAAAACAUAUCAAUAUAUUUUAUGGAGCUAUACUGUUUUAUUAAAAGUACCAGAUGAAUGGUAGUUGUUUUGUAAUUAUUUGCUUAAUAAAGAUAGCUACUGUGUGCCAAAGGCCAGA